CCGCCUUGUUCCUCGUGUUUUAUUAUCCAUGGUUCUGGUUCCUCCUGUUUUAUUUUCCAGGGUUCUGGUUCACUCGUGUCCUCCUCACUCUCCUCUUUAACAAACACCAUCUUCACAGCAGCAGAUCUCAGUUCAGCUGAUUCUCCUCCAGAUAUUCCUGCUUGCUUCAAAACUUA